CUCCAGACUCCUACGGGAGGCAGCAGUAAGGGAUAUUGGUCAAUGGGGGAAACCCUGAACCAGCAACGCCGCGUGAGGGAAGACGGUUUUCGGAUUGUAAACCCCUGUCCUCUGUGAAGAUGAUGACGGUAGCAGAGGAGGAAGCUCCGGCUAACUACGUGCCAGCAGCCGCGGUAAUACGUAGGGAGCGAGCGUUGUCCGGAUUUACUGGGUGUAAAGGGUGCGUAGGCGGCUUGGCAAGUCAGUAGUGAAAUCCAUGGGCUUAACCCAUGAACUGCUAUUGAAACUGUCGAGCUUGAGUGAAGUAGAGGUAGGCGGAAUUCCCGGUGUAGCGGUGAAAUGCGUAGAGAUCGGGAGGAACACCAGUGGCGAAGGCGGCCUGCUGGACUGCGACUGACGUUGAGGCCCGAAAGCGUGGGGAGCAAACAGGAUUAGAUACCCGAGUA
rnacentral:rRNA from 1 species